rnacentral:lncRNA from 9 species
UUUUUUUUUUUUUAUGGCUGCAUCUGCGGAGAAUGGAAGUUCUGGGCUAGGGGUCAAAUUGGAGCUGCACUGGGGGCCUACGCCAUAACUGUGGCAACACCGGAUCCCAGCUAAGCUGCAUCUGUCACCCACACCUUGGCUGUCGAAUUUGAAUCCUCUCAGAGACCACAUUGAGUCCUUAACCCCAUAAGCCACAAUGGGAACUCCUCAAGAUGCAGGGUUUUUUUUUUUUUUUGUUUUUUUUUUUGGUCUUUUCUAGGGCCACUUCCAUGGCAUAUGGAGGUUCCCAGGCUAGGGGGCUAAUCGGAGCUGCCGGCAGCUGUAGCUCCGAUUCAACCCCUAGCCUGGGAACCUUCAUAUGCGGUGGAUGUGGCCCUAAAAACUGAAAAGCAAAAAAAAAAAAAAAAGGAAGGUUGGGAUGUGAAGGCCCCAGCCAGCUGUGGGACUUUGGCCUUGUACUUAUUCUCAGUUGCUAAGGACUUUUUCAGCUCUCCCAUUCCAUGGAGAAGAGUUUGAGAAAGUGCUCUCCAAAUGUUAAGUAAAAUUAAAACUGGAAGUGUAGCUUAAAAAUUUCUUUCUGAAAUGAGUCCACCUCAUUUCUUAGGUUACAGACAAAAGUACAAGUUCUUACUGGAAAAUUAGUUCGUAUACUCUCCAAUUUGUAAGGAUUUUUCCUCCUAAUAUCAUUAAGUUGCAUUAGAGCUUGAUGUAUGCAAGCUUGACAGAAAAGGUCCAUUGCCCUAGCUGGAGACAGAGGCUAGUGUUGUGGCUCAGUGUUUUCAGACCUAAUGUUGUCUCUGGGAGGAUUCAGGUUUGAUCCCUGGCUUCACUCAGUGGGUUAAGGAUCCAGUGUUGCCGUGAGUGGUGGUGUAGGUCAUCGAUGUGUCUCAGACCCGGUGUUGCCAUGGAUGUGGUGUAGGUUACAGCUGCAGCUCCAAUUCAGUUUCUGGCCCAGGAUCUUUAUAUGCAGUUCUUAUAUAUAUUAAAAAAAAAAAAAGAAAAAGAAAAGGAAAGUGUUUCCUAAAACUUUUUAAGCCAAUAACGCAGCAAGUAUACAAUUUUUGCUUCAGUGAUAAUCCCAGCAUUUCUCCAAAUAGUGCAAGAAACAGACAAGAGAAAAAAAAGAUGAAAUUCCACUGCCUUUAACCCUUUCAUGAAUAGAAAAUGUACAGAGUACUGCGUACAGUAUAAGAAAAUGAUUCCAUCUUCUCUCUAGAUGCUCCAUCCUUUGGAGCCCACUGUGAUUAACCUAAUAGAGGGGGGAGCUUCAGGGUCACUUAUUUCCCCUCUGGUGCUCUUGAUUUAAGGCAGGGUACAGAACGGAAUGUGCCCAAAUGCACCCUCUCCUUCCCUAUGAAAGUUGUAAGAGUAAUAAGGAGGAAAGACAAAUUCACUUGAGUCCAAUCCAUCCUUUAAGCACAAGACAAAACACAAACCUCAUUAUUGAAGAGUAAUAAAAAUGAGACUAAGUGGCAGUUAGGUUCCUACAAAUAAAAAUUGCUACCACUGCUGCCAUUGCCUGUCUUUGUGAAAUGAGGAGAUGAAUCCUACCUUUGUUCAGUGAACCCAUAAUGAAGAGGUGUUUAACACUGAAGGCUAUGGCUUGAAAAAGAUAUUGCCAUGUAAAUGUGAGACCAAUGGAGACACUGGGUUGUGAAGGCUACACCUGCCAAAGGUAAGCUUAAUGAAAUAGCCAAUGGCACUGUCAUGGUUUAGAGAUUCACCCAAUAGUGUAAGCAUUUACAGACUCAUGGAGUAGCAUUCUAGUUUAAUGCUUUUCAAGUUCUUUUUAUUUUAAGCUGGCAGUGCUGGGGUGGAUGGGGGAAGGGAGUGAUAUGUACGUUAUUCUCACACACACACACACACACACACACUUUUAAAGGAGGAUUUUCUCCCUGGACAUCCUGAGUGAUACUUAUGUAGCUUAAAGUGAGUAGAGUAUUAAUUUAUAGUUAUUAAAGUGAUUUGUAUUUUGUAUAUUUAUAUAUCUUCAAUACCUAACAAUUUCUUCAUACUUUGUGUGUUGCACUAGCAAUUUUGUUGGAUACACUUUUUCAAGUAACCCAGAUUGAGUGUUUCUAUUAGUUGGUGUUAGAUAAAUGGCAAGACAUGCUCUGAAGUGGACUUCAACCCUAGAAGAACUGUAGAGCCAAUGAACUUCCAGAAGAUGAGCAGCCCUUUGUGAGGUGUUUGUUGUAGGGUGUGAUGAUUUGAUGUUGCGCUUUGGGGGUAACAGGUUAAGGUGAUCUGUCCCAGGAAUCUGUUCCUUGAAAUGGGCUACAUAAAGACUCCUACUGGCACAUAGUAGGUGCUCAACUGGCACAUAGUAGGUGCUCAACAAAUGUGGUGUUUUCAUAUUGGUCUAAGAGAUAUCCUGCUUAUUCCAUCAGUUGCCUGUUUUUGAGUCUCUUUGAUUAAGGGUGGCUCUUGGCAGUCAAAGAGAUUAGAUCCCAAACCUCUGUCUCUGGAACUCCCUUCGAUGCUUGAAAGUAGAGCAGCCCGAUAUAGAAAGGUUCAGAACUGAAGUGAAUAGUUUCAGAAUUCUCUGUGCACCUUUUUAAUGAGCUCUGUGUAUUUCCAAAGUGUUUGACAAUCAUUUAUCUCUCUGACUAAACAGAGACCAGAGCCAGGAUAAAGGAAGGGCCCUGCAAGAUCCUGCAUUGAAUUGGCAGGACAACCACAUCACAUAGAAGAAUUUAUGGCUUCCAUCGCCUGAGCUCAACCCUCGCUCCUGGCUUUCUGUUCCUUCAGGUUUGCUUCCUUUUGGAUAUUGGCUUUACCAAAAAUCAAACAAAAGUUGCCUUUUUUGGUCUCCCCCUUUUCAUAUCUGUCCUCAAUCUGACCAGAUUGUUGUCUUUAAAAGGUGGUAAAAGACAGGACGUGGAAAGAAGAAUGUAGUAGCACCACGGUUGUUCCUUGGUUGAGAACCAAUCUGGUCUCGAGUCCCCACUUGAUGUUUGUUUUUAUUAAAAACGUCUGCAAGGGCAACUGUUCUGAGUAUAUUAUCCAAGAGGAUCUUGUUAAUUAGUUUUGCUGCAGCAUCGGUGGGAGUAACAAAAAUAUACAUCUGCUGACUAAGAAUGACACACAUUUGUUAACGAAAACACCGUUUUCACUAAAACACAAUUCUUGACAGUUUAGCACGUGCCAAAUAAUGUUUAAAUCCUAUCUUCAGUUCCUAUAAUUUUGGGAAAAAUUAUAAAUUACUUUAAAAAUUUUUUAAAGUAUGUUUGGAGCCUGUGAGAAAAUUCUGGGGGAAAAAAAAAAAGAAGGGUUCCCCAGAAACUGCCCUCCCUGUGCUCAGAGGGGGAGAAAAAAAGAGAAAGGAUGGUGCCGGGUGGGGGUGGAAAGAGUCCUGUAUACUUCAGCCAGGGGAAGUAAUUGAAAAUGCUAAUUCUCUGCCCACAGACGAAAACUUUGAAGGACAGGUCCUUGUCAUCGGACUCCUCGAGAAACAGCAGAGCAGAAAUAAAAAUAGAUCAUUGACCAAAAAUAUCCCUUUCCAACUGAGAAGUUUUAAAGUGCUGCUGCCCAUUUUUCUGUUUAAAAAAUUAUAAACCAGCCUUUUUAUUCUUUACUUUGAGAACUGUGGGGGCUAAUGUAUGGGUGGUUUAAGAAUAGAAAUAUUAAGAAUCUCAGUUUACAAAAUGUUGAAAUAGGUCUAUGGCUAUUUUUUUCCCUCUAGAAGAUGAAUUAUCUGCAAGGGUCAAAUUUAGGUUAUUGUCAAAUCAGGAAUUCCAGAGGCUCCCGUCAAUUAGCAAUUUUGGGAAAGAUGCACAUAGAUAAGAGUUACCUCCUUUUCUUCUUUAGAGAAACAGCAAUGUUAAUGAUGACAAUUGCAGUAAUAAUUUCUGGAGGUCCUGUUGUGGCUCAAUGGAAACGAACCUGACUAGUACCCAUGAGGACGCAAGUUUGAUCCCUGACCUCACGCAGUCGGUUAAGGGUCUGGCAUUGCUGUGGCUGUGGGGUAGGCCAGCAGCUACAGCUCCGAUUUGACCCCUGGCCUGGGUGUGGCUCUUAAAAAAAAAAAAAAAGCAAUAAUAAUUUCUUUCCACUUUAAGCUCAAGGGUUACAUUGGGGUUUGUAGCUUGUUUGCAGUGUUAGAACCAGUGGGGCGGGGAUAGUCAUGGAAAUAGUUUGGGGAAGUGCCCUUAUCAUAUAGAGCAUCACAAACUGGGCACGUGUUUACUGGCUCUUUUGUGUGCUUACUGGUUCAUGAGAAUCAAGAAUGGCGAUUGGAAAUGGUUACCCAAGAGGGAAGAAGGUAGGUAAGGGAUAUAUUAGGGGGUUCGGAUUAGCAGAUACAAACUACUGUAUAUAAAACAGGUAAACAACAAAGCCCUCUGUAUAGCAUGGGGAACGGUAUUCAAUAUCCCAUAGUACGCCAUAAUGGAAAGGAAUAUAAAAAAGAAAAAAUAGGGAGGUCUCAUAGUAGCUUAGUGGUAACAAAUCCCACUAGUAUCCAUGAGGGUGUAGGUUCGAUCCCUGGUCUCGCUCAGUGAGUUAAGGAUCUGGCAUUGCUGUGGCUGUGGUAUAGGCUGGCAGCUGUAGUUCUGAUUCGCCCCCUAGCCUGGAAACUUCCGUAUGCCUUGGGUGCAGUCCUAAAAAGCAAAAACAAACCAAAAAAAAGAAAAAAGAAAAGAAAAAAAA